AACGAACGUUAGCGGCGCGCCUAACACAUGCAAGUCGCACGAGAAAGGGCUUCGGCCCCAGUAAAGUGGCGCACGGGUGAGUAACACGUGGGUAACCUUCCCUUGAGCGGGGGAUAACAUUCCGAAAGGAGUGCUAAUACCGCAUAAGACCACGGCCUCGAAAGAGGCUGAGGUCAAAGCAGGCCUCUUCAUGAAAGCUUGCACUCGAGGAUGGGCCCGCGUCCCAUCAGCUAGUUGGUAGGGUAAUGGCCUACCAAGGCGAAGACGGGUAGCUGGUCUGAGAGGAUGAUCAGCCACACUGGAACUGAGACACGGUCCAGACUCCUACGGGAGGCAGCAGUGGGGAAUCUUGCGCAAUGGACGAAAGUCUGACGCAGCGACGCCGCGUGGGUGAUGAAGGCC
rnacentral:rRNA from 1 species